UUAACCUUGUACCUUUUGCAUCAUGAUUUAGCCAGUAUCCCCAAGCAAAGAGCUUUUUAGUUUGAUACCCCGAAACUAAGGGAGCUACUUCAAGACAGCCUAUCAAUAGGGCGAACCCGUCUCUGUGGCAAAAGAGUGGGAAGAUCUUCAAGUAGAGGUGAUAGACCUACCGAACUUAGAUAUAGCUGGUUGCCUGAGAAAUGAAUAGGAGUUCAGCCUCUCGGCUUCUCUCUAAACCACUAGAGUUAGUCAAAGGGGGUCCAGCCCCUUUGAAAAAAGACACAACUUUAAUAGGAGGAUAAAGACCAUAUUGAAUCAAAGAAUUAGUGUUUUGGUGGGCCUAAGAGCAGCCACCCCAAUAGAAAGCGUUAAAGCUCAGACAUAAAUAUCGAUAACCCAAUCUUAAUCCCCUAGCCCGUAUCAGGCCAUCCUAUGCCAACAUAGGAGUGAUUAUGCUAAUAUGAGUAAUAAGAGACGCCUCUCUCCUUGCACACGUGUAAAUCGGAACGGACCUCCCCCCGAAUAUUAACGGCCCCAAGUGAAGAGGGUAUUGAAGAUUAACAGGAAGAACCUUCACCGUUAACCCUACACUGGCGUGCUCCCAAGGAAAGACUAAAAGAAAAAGAAGGAAUUCAGCAAUACUGCCUCGCCUGUUUACCAAAAACAUCGCCUCUUGAACAUAAGAGGUCUGGCCUGCCCAGUGACUAUAUGUUCAACGGCCGCGGUAUUUUGACCGUGCAAAGGUAGCGUAAUCAUUUGUCUUUUAAAUGAAGACCGGUAUGAAUGGCAAGACGAGGGCUAAACUGUCUCCUUUUUCAGGUCAAUGAAAUUGAUCUCCCCGUGCAGAAGCGGGGAUAAUACCAUAAGACGAGAAGACCCUGUGGAGCUUUAGGCGACGGAACAGAUCAUGUCCAACAUACCUAUAUAAAGGAUUAAACUUAAUGAAGACUAUCCCCAUGCCUUCGGUUGGGGCGACCAUGGAGUAACGAAUAUCCUCCAAGUGAGAGGGAGCACUCCCGGAACUAAGAGCUACAGCUCUAGUUAACAGUAUAUCUGACCUAAAUUGAUCCGGCAAUGCCGACUAACGGACCAAGUUACCCCAGGGAUAACAGCGCAAUCCUCUUCUAGAGCCCAUAUCGACAAGAGGGUUUACGACCUCGAUGUUGGAUCAGGACAUCCUAAUGGUGCAA
rnacentral:rRNA from 1 species